rnacentral:rRNA from 1 species
UACGGGGGGGGGCAAGCGUUGUUCGGAAUUACUGGGCGUAAAGGGCUCGUAGGUGGCCAACUAAGUCAGACGUGAAAUCCCUCGGCUUAACCGGGGAACUGCGUCUGAUACUGGAUGGCUUGAGUUCGGGAGAGGGAUGCGGAAUUCCAGGUGUAGCGGUGAAAUGCGUAGAUAUCAGGAGGAACACCAACGGCGAAGGCAGCUCGCUGGGACGGUACUGACGCUGAGGCGCGAAAGCGUGGGGAGCGAACAGG